AUAUAAGCAAAAUUGACUUUUUAUGUUCAUUCAUUUAAUGAUGUAUGUGGUCCAUAUUAUAAACCACAUACAUCAUUAAAUGAAUGAAUCUAAAAAGUCAAUUUUGCUUAUAU
rfam:Medicago truncatula strain A17 chromosome 2, whole genome shotgun sequence.